CGGGAAACAAACACACGAGUAAACUUCUGGGUUCCUAGGAGCACGUUUUGGAGGCGCCGGGAACGGGUGGUGCCGGGACGGAGCCGAGGGGCGGGGGGCGUUUGGCUGGACCUCCACUCCAUUCCCCACCACCCAGGACCACAGAGCCAAGGUUUCUGUGUUCUGGAGCAUCAUGGAACCCGGGGACUGAGCCACCAUCUGGCAGCCACGCCCUUGUUGAUAAAGUGCGGCCGCUGUCUUUCACCAAGAACUUCCAUCAUACUGGAGACUGCACUUGUUCAACUCACUGUGCGGGACCUCACCAACUGGCUCCUCACCCCGGGGUCACACGGUAGGAAACCCAUUGCCCUGCUACCUCCUGGAGCUCCAUGGAUCUGGGAACAUUGCCAUGACCGGUGGAGGCUGCUCCUCAGCCUGCUGCCCUGGUUUUCAGAGUUGCGACCAAGAGCAUUAUUGCUCCUGAGAGCUUCUCUGGAUAAUAACCAACGAAUUGCCCCCUACCCACUUUGUCACCUAACGUUGUGAGGCAUCAGUGGCCUGCGUCUGUGUCCCGGCCUCAGCUGUGUCCUUCCUACUGAGCGUGAGGCCAGCUUCUCCGGAGAACACACACAAGAUCAUUGAGCCCGUUCCUAAGGCCUCGCCGUGCUCUGCCAAGAGAAGAAGAGGAACUUGCCCUCUGCCGGGGUCUAGAGAUCCAUGUGGUGAUGACACAGAAGACCACCCACCACUCACGAUCUCCAUCUUAUUACACCAAAUUGUUAGAGGCCUCAGAUUUCAUCAAACUGGGCUUUCGAGGUCCUUAAAAUGGUAAUAAUAAAAGAAUGUAUUGAGUACACACUAUGUGACAGUCAUUGCUCUAACCUCUUUACGUGUGUUAUCGAAUUUAACUUUUUUAACAACCUUGUAAAGCAAGUGCUCGUAUCUCCAUUUUGAAGUUUAGAAGCCCUGUUCAAACUCGCUCCAAAACAUGAAGAGGCCUCCUCAGUGUGCUGCCCACACCUUGAGGGCAUUGCAGAACUUUUCCACCAAUGCAGCCAUCAGAUUCUUCAUGAUCUUCUGGAAAUGGCCAUAUACUAUUUGAAGCAUAUUUGUAUUGAACCCCAGACUUAGCCUCCAGCAAGGCCCUAGUAUAAGACAGUUCUGAACAACACAGCCACAUCACAGGGCGCCCCCUGGUAGUGCCUCUUCUGAAGCCCCAAGAUUGUAUCAAAUGUCUCUGACCAUUGCUUGAGGAUGGGCCCGGAACACAAGUUAGUCUAAUCAGAGUUACAGGUAACUCUGAGCU
rnacentral:lncRNA from 1 species